AAGAAGUACUGCUCUGUAAUGGGAUGGGAUCCGAAGCCCCAGUGAGGGAUAAUACAGGCUCUCCCAUCCAACUCCUAUUCCGACACGUCCUCGUCGUGCAGAGUGGUAACAUGUGUCACCACAUAUCCAAGCUUGGGUGGAUGGUGGCAUAUGGCGAACCAGGAGGGG
rnacentral:ribozyme from 1 species